ACACACAAGAAAAAUAAAAUAUGUCUACAAGCUUCCAAAAGUAAAGAUUAAGUCUAAACUUCAAAUAUCACAUUUAAAUUCAUAUGUCAGGCUGGUCUUCUUCAACUUCAUGAAUCUCAUUCAAAUCAAAUGUGUUCACCCAUGCAGCUUUGCCAUCUCCUUUGCCAACAGAAGAUCCGGUUUCCUUCUCAGCAUCAUUAAUAACAUCUACUUCUGUUUCAAAUAUUAUAAAAAGUAAAUACAAGAAAUGCAACUAGUUAACAACAUACAUAUAUCAAAUUUAGUAUCUGUGCAUAAAAAUCUCAUUCUAUAAAUGAAAAAAUAAUAUUAAAAACAAAAUUAUUCUUCUAAUAAUUUUCAGUUCUCUUUUACCACCAAAUAUAUUACAUCACAUCUCCUAAUCUAUCUAUCUCUCAACUCUUAAACUACACUAUUAAUUAAUUUACACCUUUUACAUUUCAAGUUGAAGUGUAAGACAAUCUCAUCUAUAAGCUGAAUUUUUCUUUUUAAUAAAAGUUGUAUAAUAUUACUAGAGGGUUUAUUUACAUGAGCCAAGGUUGUAUUAAUGGUUUUCUACUUUAGAGUGAUCUAUUAUAACGUAUGCUUUUCUAUCUGCAUGAGCCAUAAUCAAAUCCCUAACUAAAUGGUUAACGGACCUAACAUUUGGCUCACACCAUUUUAUAGUCAAUAUCAUGCAAACAUAGUUGUAUAUAGAAUUUCUUUUUACAUUAUUUCUUUUUCAAAAAAAAUUCACAGUAUAAGAAACAAAACCCUAACAAUAAUUUAUUGAUAUAAUAAAGCUAACCUUUAUCAGCAGAAGCUUUGCCUUUUAAAGAAUGAUCCACUUCGUUGAAUGCAACAUCACUGGGCAAACAGUCCUUCUUGCAUUGUUCUUUACUUGUGACUUCUUCUUCUGCAACCAUACAUCAAUAAUAAUCAUUAAGUAAAUGAAUUUUAUUUUUAUUCCAUUCGGAGCAAAACAGGGCUCUGAAACUAUAAGAUUUGUUUCCACGCCUCUAUGGACAUAUUGAGAUAAGAAAGAAAAAGAUAGAAAUGCUAAUAAAAUUUUAGUUUAGAAAAGUUAUCCUUUCUCCAAAGCUAACAUACUUAUUUCUCCAAAAAUAAAGCUCUUACUAAAGGUUUACAUAAUGGUGACUCAUUUUUUGAAUGCAACGCAUGUCAAGUUCCAUUCAAAUAAUUAUGGAUCUCGUUGGGGAUAACCCUCAAAAGUUGAUCGCACUUGGGAGUUUACCCCCAAAAUACUAAUCUUGCAUAAAUUAAAUUUUAGCCCCGAGGCAAACUUAAGGACAUCAAAUAUUCAUCAGAAUGUUGUUGUGUUCUUCAUCAGAAUGUUGAUGUUCAUCAUGACAUUCAUAUGGGUUCAUCAUUUAUGAAUGAAUGAUGAGUUUCUGGGUUUAUCCAAUGUGUGCUUUAUGAAUUUGUGGGCAAUACUCAUGAGUUGCGAGUUUUGCACAAAAGUCAGAAAGUUGCUGGAUAAAGUUGUUUCCAGAUCUGCAUUGGAUUGUGUGCAUGAGAAAGAGUAGUGGAUCAGCAAAC
rnacentral:lncRNA from 1 species